CAAGUUCCAGGUGGCAGUGGCUGGGUCUGUGUCUGGACUUGUUACUCGGGCGCUGAUCAGUCCCUUCGACGUCAUCAAGAUCCGUUUCCAGCUUCAGCAUGAGCGCCUGUCUCGCAGUGACCCCAGCGCAAAGUACCAUGGCAUCCUCCAGGGCUCUCCCCAUGAGAGAAUCAGAGGGAAUGCAGGACGUGGUCUAUGGUGAGCCAACGACACAGUGAGAAGGAGCAGGAAGUUGCUGUUUCUCCUCUGACCAGCCCACACUCCAAAGGAAACAGACGCCAUCCUACACCUAUCAGCCCUGCCUGCCAGGAGAACAGAACACACUCCUGGUCUGGAUGGGGCUGCUGCUUGAGUGCAGAGGGCUGCGGUAGGCCCUUUGCAGGAGUCAGGUCCCUACACUUGGCCUGUUUUUCCAACCUAUUUAAUAGACAUUAAAGCUAAACACACA
rnacentral:lncRNA from 1 species